UCACUCUGGGACAAGCCCUGGAAACGGGGUCUAAUACCGGAUAACACUCUGUCCCUCAUGGGACGGGGUUAAAAGCUCCGGCGGUGAAGGAUGAGCCCGCGGCCUAUCAGCUUGUUGGUGGGGUAAUGGCCUACCAAGGCGACGACGGGUAGCCGGCCUGAGAGGGCGACCGGCCACACUGGGACUGAGACACGGCCCAGACUCCUACGGGAGGCAGCAGUGGGGAAUAUUGCACAAUGGGCGAAAGCCUGAUGCAGCGACGCCGCGUGAGGGAUGACGGCCUUCGGGUUGUAAACCUCUUUCAGCAGGGAAGAAGCGAAAGUGACGGUACCUGCAGAAGAAGCGCCGGCUAACUACGUGCCAGCAGCCGCGGUAAUACGUAGGGCGCAAGCGUUGUCCGGAAUUAUUGGGCGUAAAGAGCUCGUAGGCGGCUUGUCACGUCGGAUGUGAAAGCUCGGGGCUUAACCCCGAGUCUGCAUUCGAUACGGGCUAGCUAGAGUGUGGUAGGGGAGAUCGGAAUUCCUGGUGUAGCGGUGAAAUGCGCAGAUAUCAAGAGGAACACCGGUGGCGAAGGCGGAUCUCUGGGCCAUUACUGACGCUGAGGAGCGAAAGCGUGGGGAGCGAACAGGAUUAGAUACCCUGGUAGUCCACGCCGUAAACGUUGGGAACUAGGUGUUGGCGACAUUCCACGUCGUCGGUGCCGCAGCUAACGCAUUAAGUUCCCCGCCUGGGGAGUACGGCCGCAAGGCUAAAACUCAAAGGAAUUGACGGGGGCCUCGCACAAGCAGCGGAGCAUGUGGCUUAAUUCGACGCAACGCGAAGAACCUUACCAAGGCUUCACAUAUACCGGAAAGCAUCAGAGAUGGUGCCCCCCUUGUGGUCGGUAUACAGGUGGUGCAUGGCUGUUGUCAGCUCGUGUCGUGAGAUGUUGGGUUAAGUCCCGCAACGAGCGCAACCCUUGUUAUGUGUUUCCAGCAUCCCCUUCGGGGUGAUGGGGACUCACAGGAGACUGCCGGGGUCAACUCCGAGGAAGGUGGGGACGAGGUCAAGUCAUCAUUCCCAUUUUCUCUUGGGCCGCACACCUGCUCCAAUGGCCGGUACAAUGAGCUGCGAUGCCGCGAGGCGGACCGAAUCUCAAAAAGCCGGUCUCAGUUCGGAUUGGGGUCUGCAACUCGACCCCACGAAGUCGGAGUUGCUAGUAAUCGCAGAUCAGCAUUGCUGCGGUGAAUACGUUCCCGGGCCUUGUACACAGCGCCCGUCACGUCAUGAAA
rnacentral:rRNA from 1 species